UAACUACCUGGCUGAUUAACACAUUCAUGCUGACAGAGAAAUUCUGAGAAGCUGCAUUCAUCCAUAUCUGCAAAUGCUAUUAGAAGUUGUCCCAGAGAAAGAGCUACUACAGUAUGCAGUACUGGACCCAGAGGGGAACACAGACCAGUCAGAGAGUCCUUGGACCAACCAGGUAGAGCAGGAGAAUCAUUAUGAUGGUACCCCAAAAGCAACCAAGUCUAUGAACUGGAGAAUCAGAACUUUGAAGAGGUUGGAGGCAUAUAAUCAGUUCCUUGGGGAAAAUGAUGCUCCAAAGAACAGACAGAAUUGCAUCAUCACACCAGAGGCUCAGCUGGAAUUCUCAUCCAUCCUUCCUGUUCAUGGAAGAGGAUCUGAGGAAGAGAAAGAAGAACACUGCAAACCAGUGACUGACUAUAUAAAUGAUGUCCAGAAGAGAGAUUUGUUUUCUGGGACAUGGACAGAAUUAUCUGGAUUAUGGACUGCUGGCACAAGAGUGACUGCACCUCACAAAGUUUGAUAAAAAUGUGUUCGGUGAGGUUAAUUAGGAAGGCUUUUAAACUGAAACUUGUGAAGUAUGAAAAUGAAAACCCUAAACUCAGAACUAUAGAUAAAGACAUGUACAUUGUAGAAAGUGGAAGUGCUGCUGAAAUGGGGCCUCUUAGACCAGUCAGAGAAAAAUCAUAACGCUCAUCUGGCAUGAGAUCUGUAGCAGGCACAAUGCCAGUGGUAGGGAGGACAGGUUACUUCAAUCAUUCAUGAGACUUAGUAGUGACUAGUAGCACUGCUACAGAGGUCAUCAGAUGUGAAUACCUUAUGUGAGAUGGGACUGUAGGGAGAAGCUAGGGUUGCUGUUGGUGUACAAUUCUCCUGUUGCCUGGUAGUGGCUCUCCUGGAGUUCCUAAGGCUCAUCACCUAGGUGAGUCUCCUAAGCUUUUGCUACAGGUGAAUGCCUUGAGGUAGUUGUCCUGGUUGGCUUAGGGUUUUGCAGCCUCCAUGAUGACCAUGGGUUUGUCCUAGAUAAUCUUUUUCUUGAAACAAAUAUGCUGGAUCAGGUUUUUACUUCAAAUGCAUAAAAUGCAUAGUCACAGACAUGAAUAUGGAGGACACUGUUCUUUGCUGUUAUCAGAUCAUUUCCAGUCAGGCUGCAGAACGUGAGGACCCUUUGGUGGACCAAUUACAGCAAUCCACCAGGUGUCUGAUCAAUCCUGAAGGUUUUCUGAGGGCAAUUAGUGUGUCUUGAGUCUGGUCAAUCUCUGGUAUAAAGAGAUGGCCAGAGCAUUGGAUGAGAUUGACCCUAUGAGGCCUUUUCCCAGGUGCCAAUCCCAAGUGACUCCUUGGUUUUUAGAGUUGUGAUGAAGAAUAAAGCAAAUGAAAAGAUGCCUAGAUCAAUGGUGGCAUAAGAUUAAAAGUGAGUAGGGCCAAGGAUAAGUAUGUACCUAUUUUUUACCUACAUAGUGGCAAUAAGAGUGGUGAGGUGUGUGUAUUUUUCUGAAUGUUUUGUGUCCAGAGAUUCCUGCCCAGCAUCCCUGUUCAGGGUGACACAGAUUAUCCUGGGGAGCAACACAAGGGACAAGAAGCUUGCAAACCACUGUCGUGCUUCUGUCCAUUUCUUUGUGGAUAAAAUUGCUCAUGUGCAUUCAGGGUUAAACAACAUUUGGGCAGAGCCAUGUGAUAUGAGUGGAGGAAUAUCUUGCAAUGUAACCUGAGGUUCUUCUGAAUUUGUGGAACCUGAGGAAGUAGAUAGGGUGCUCUGUAAUAAGAAAUCUUCCAUCUGUGGGCUGGACCCAAGUCCAGUUUGGCUCUUAUGUUGAGCAUUUAUGUAUGUAUGGCUAAAUUAUGAAGGUGAGCAAGAGAGCAAAUGUCUCCAUCUUUAAAAAGGAGGAAAGGAAAGAUCCAGCAAACUACAGACCAGACAGUGAAACAUUGAUAUCUGGAAUGAUUCUACAGCUGAUCAUAAAGAGAUAAGAUCUUGAAAACAAUGCAGUAAGAACUAGAAGUCAGCAAUGACUUGUCAGUAACAAAUCUUUAUAUCUUAUCUCAUUUUUUGAUUGAGAAACUUCUUUAUUAGAUGGGAGGCAUGCUAUAAACAUAAUACAUCUUGAUUGUAGCAAAGCAUUUGACAAAAUACUCCAUGACAUGCUGAUUAGAGAAGUUAGUUAAAUGUGGGCUGAAUAUCAUGGCAAUUAAGUGGCCACAUAGCUGUCUUGAAAAUCAAGAAUGCUCAUCAAAUUGGAGUAGCAUGAUUUGGAUGAAGAGGUAGACAGAAUACUUAUUCAAUCUCAAUGUCACAAAAUUGCAUUGGAAAAGACUGAAUUAAAAUUCAAAAUGAUCUUGAUGCAUUGGAGAAUGGGGCUGAAAGUAACCAUAGUAACAAUAAAACUUCACAGAGACAGGUGCAAAGUUCACUUAGGAAAUAAAAUUCAAAUGCACAAAUAUAGUAUAGGAAUAUCUGGCUUGAUAAUAGUAAUGGUAAAAAACUGUCUUGGAGUUAGAGUUGAUUGCAAUCUGACUAUGAGCCAGCAGUGCAAUAUGAACUCAAAGAAGUCAAUGCAGUUUUAAGCUGCAUUAACAGAAUAUGAUUUCCCAAUCAUCCAAAGUAAUUUUUCCUUGGUCAGACCCCUUUCAAGUACAAUGACCAGUUUUGAGGAUCACGCUUCAAGAAGGAUUCAGCGAAAUCAGAACAGGUUCAGAGAAGGGCAAUGAUCAGAGAGCUGGAAAGUAAACGCUAUAAAAAAAGCCUGAAGGACCUGGAAAUGCUUAUUUUUGAGAAGAGACAAGUGAGAGGAGCUGUGAUAGCCCUCUUCAAAUAUUUGAAAGGUUGCCACAUAAAGGAACAUCAAGAUCUGUUCUCUCUCCUUCUAGAGUAGAGUACAUGGAAUAAUGGUUUUAAGUGACAGGAGGACAGAUUAUGAAUGACUAUUAGAAAACAAUUCCUAAAUUAAGAGCAGUUCAUGAUGGAAAAAUAGGGACAUUCAAAAAUCAUUUGAUAUCAGGAUUCUUUCUAAGAUAUAUUAAAAGUGAAGUGAGAUGCAUACCAUAAAAUCUAAAUACUUUACCACUCCACCAACUGUCAGAUGUAAUAAAUUCACAAAUAGCAUAUUUAUCUUACUCAGACUGUGAGGAAACUUAAAGGGAAAGAAGAAGUAUGUGAAUUAGUAACCAAAGAAAAAUUGUAGAUUUUAAAUGUACUUGGAAUGAUAACAUACCUUCUUUUAAGCACUUCUAAUUGCAUUCCCAUAGAACUUUGAUUUGUCUUCUCACAUAUAUUACUUUCUGUAAAAUGUAAAUGCCAUAUCAUAGUCACAUCCUUUGUUGGCCACUGAUUGUACAAUCAACAGGAAGUUGCAGCUAGUGUUGGCUCUUAUAUGAUAAAUGUAUUUUUCAGAUAUUUCUUGUCAUUGUCACACUUCAAAUGUUUGGAUCAUUUACAAAAUGUGUAUAUUAUUAUUCUAAAAUAUAUAUAUUGUAAAAAGUGGCUCAUUUCAGGAGGAAUAUAAUUGUAAAAAUUGGCAAAAGUCAGAUAUAUGGAAAGUCCACAAGGUGAAAUGCAGCAUUUACAUUUCUAAAAGGCAGGAUACAUUUAUUCUUGAGACAAGAUAUUAAAGCAACGUUUGCCUUUUCUUAUAGCAGCCUUGGCCAAUCUUGUACCCUUUAAGUCUGAAAAUGCAGUCUGGCAAAUUUGCAAGUGUUGAUAAACGAAUUCAUAUUUCUAUAUAUUUUGGCCAAACAUCUUGAUUGUGGCAUAGAAAUGCAGCCAGAUUUAGGUCUGGAAUCAAAAUGAAGAGAAACAAAUAAAACUGAACCAAGAAACAUAUAUCAGGAGCCAAGAAUAGCAAUCAGUUUUAUGUGUCAAUAUGAGUGUUGCCAUCUCUUGAUGUUAUAUCAAAGCUACAGACAGUACAAUUUUCCAGAAGACUGAGGACUAUUUCAACAUGACAGCAGACAUGUGGAACCUUCCAGAAAGCUGCUACAGUGGAGUAUAACAUGAAGAAUACCCAAACUAGGAGCUUGGAAAAGCCACCAUUGGAAGUUCUUUAUUUCCUGAGUUUGACAGAAGAUGUACACUCGAGUAAAUACAUAUGAAAGCAAAUAAGUUUUUCACCAGUUAAGGCAAUGGCUUUCUUUAGAACUUCUGAGGAGUAAAGCCUACAGAUUCUCUGUUUGAACUGACUAAAACAUUGUUCAGCAAAAUUCAGGUCUAAAUAGGCUUUGGUAGGCCAGUGGAUGGAAAUGAGGGUGGAAAUAAAUUUAGGGGUGAAAUCCUCUUAGCCUUCCCAGCUCCAGUCCAACAAAUUUAAUUCAUGCCAAUGAGCCUUUCUUUAUAAUGUAUUUAUUUAUUUUGAUUUAUUAGCCGCCCAAUGGACUCCAAUGGACUUAAUACAUAGGAGGGGAUUAGGGAUGGUGUUGUUUGGGGCUGGUACAAUAUGGGAGGGAAGAUUAGUCCUCUCAUCUGUUUUCCCUUCUCCCCUCACCAACACAGUUCCAGGGGCAGGAAUGGGAUGAUUGUUUCUGAGGCAAACAGCGAUGGAUGGAAUUUUUGGUAGCUUGCAGCUAGGAAGGAUAGCAUUUUAACAUGUUGCCAUUAAGAAACAAGCAAUAUGGCUUAGAGAUCAUUAGAGCUGGGUGCCUCCUUUUUCAAAAACAUUCAUGAACAACGAACACUUGCAAUACUGUCCUUAAUAAUUACACAAAAACACUAAUAUGCAAGCUGCAGGAAAAGCUGCAGUCACUGACAAAAUAAAUUCUGGAGAAAUAAGAAUCAGUGGAACUUCUCCAACUUAAUCCAAGGCCAUAAAUAUAGGUGCAAAAGCUUUUGGUGCAUUAAACAGAUCUUUUUUCUCAAUCAUCUUGUAGCCCAUAACAAAAAGCUACUAAUGGGCAAGAUAAUUUAGUUGUUCCUUAUAUGCUUUUAUUCAGUAUGUGAAAUGGUUCCUAUGCUAAAUUAAAUUAAAAUAGACUGGAAAUAUUAAAACCUGUAUUAAAUGUAAAUGUUUUGCCAGUGCUAAAAGAGAGAAAAAUGAAUACUGCAAUGAAAGAAAAGCCAGCUCAGAUUUGAGAAAGAGAAUAAGCAACAAAUAAAAUUGCUACUUGCUUCAUUUAGACAUAACCUUAAACUAAGCACCAGACAUAAUAGCUCCCUGUUCUUUUCUCCCCUUGGGUGAAGUCAGAAGGAAGAAAAAUCCAUUGCUCUUGUUUUUCAUAUCUAUGCUUCAGCAAACUGCAGUUAGUCUUAACCAUGGUAAGUUGCAAAGCUGUGCCGGUGAAGAGAAAGAAGGAAAUAAACUAUUCUGAGGCUCAUUCGCAUCACUCUAAACCAUAUACACGAGAAUCAGAUCCAUGUGCUGCAAUGGAAAGACUGAGCAGAUCUAGAUUUGAAUCUUGCUCAGCAAUGAAACUUCAGGGCUUCAGGCUUUAGUCUAAUAUUUCUCUCAGGGUUUUUGUAAAGACAAUAGGUAAAAAUAACAUUAUUCUAAUCUCCUAGAAAGAAGGAUAGAAUAAAGGUAUAAUACAUAAUUACAUUCUGCAGGUCUUGAGAACCAAAUGUUUCAGUUCACAUCUGCUCCUUCUAUGAUGAACCUGCUUAGAUGACAGGAAGUCUCACUGUAUUGUGAGGGCCGCAUUGUCCAAUGAAAGAAAACUGGUCUUUCAUUAUGGAAUUUAAUGUCAUGAGAAAUGAUCUCUUCACUACACAUUUAUAAAAGUGAAUUGU